CCUACGGGCGGCAGCAGUGAGGAAUAUUGGUCAAUGGGCGAGAGCCUGAACCAGCCAAGUCGCGUGAAGGAUGAAGGACCUCUGGUUUGUAAACUUCUUUUAUCUGGGAAUAAAGUGAGGCACGUGUUCCUUUUUGUAUGUACCAUAUGAAUAAGGAUAGGCUAACUCCGUGCCAGCAGCCGCGGUAAUACGGAGGAUGCGAGCGUUAUCCGGAUUUAUUGGGUUUAACGGGGGCGUAGGUGGUUAGUUAAGUCAGCUGUGAAAGUUUGUGGCUCAACCAUAAAAUUGCCGUUGAAACUGGUUGACUUGAGUAUAUUUGAGGGAGGCGGAAUGCGGGGUGUAGCGGUGAAAUGCAUAGAUAUCACGCAGAACUCCGAUGGCGAAGGCAGCUUACUAAACUAUAACUGACACUGAAGCGCGAAAGCGUGGGUAUCAAACAGGAUUAGAUACCCCAGUAGUC
rnacentral:rRNA from 1 species